AAGAAGCUGGGACCAGACUGGGCCACCAGCCUCCCCCAACCAAGUCUCGGUGAUGCACAUCAGGUUGGCCCCUUCAUCCAUAAUCAAAUCACAGAUGACUUCAGAUUUAUUUUGAACUGACCUGGCAUUGCAAAGAAGCAAGAGCAUCAGACCUUCCCCGAGGAGAAAUCUAUGUAUGCCGAACCAGCAGCAACCCCUUCAGGACAACACAGUCAGAAUUCUCCCAGAAGCAAAAAGCACCAGACAACUCAAGCCAAAUAAUCCAGAAAGUUUGAUGGAAAGGUACUCCUCUCCUUGUUUUUUCCAUCUGCUCAAUACUUCAUUGUUUCAAGUAUUAGACUUCCUGUGCAAUUAAUGGGAGCCCUACUGUCACCACCUACAUGAG